UAAGCCCAGUUUAGUGUUAUUCCUCUCUAUAGGCUAUGGUGAAAUAGGAAAGCAGUUAAAAGCAUGAUAUCAUAGAAUCAUAGAAUGGCUUGGUUUGGAAGGGACCAUAAACAUGAUCUAGUUCCAGCUCCCCUACCAUGGACAGGGACAGCUUCCAUAGACCAGGUUUCUCAGAGCCCCAUGCAGCCUGGCCUUGACUCAACACUUCUGGGGACGGGGCAUCUACGACUUUUUUGGACAACCUCUUCUAGUGUCUCAUCACCCUCAAUGAAAUAAAUGUAGUCCUCCACCCUACUUAGAAGAUGGAUGUUUUGAAUCCACAAUUUUGCAAUAUUCAGUCCUCCUUGCCCUGUCUCCAAGCAGAAGCAGUGUUCUCUGUGAAUUAAAUCUUCUUGCUGAGUCUGAUACCUUCUCUUCCAAGAAAGGAUGCAACAGAGGGGUGAGCAACAGAAACUCCCUGCUAAAGAAUGUGCUCAGGCUGUUGUUUUGGUGUCUGGGCGAUCAGUUCCCAGAUUUACAACCAAAUGAUGAGGUAAAAGGCAAAGAAGUGGACAGCUGAGUAGCCAUAUAAUACAUGGACUUGAAAAUUGAAUUUAUAAAAGCUGUGUGAGAAUGCAAGGAGAAAGAAGAAAUGAGCCAGGAGACAAUGCUGGAAACAAGAUUAAAUGGAGAAAAAGAAGAGUGGUUUGUUCUUGUCAUAUGGAAUAUAAGAUAGCUGUAUACUUGUUUUCAUAAGCAGAUGGUUUCACUUCUUGUAGCAUGUUGUACUGCAAAUUGGAAGUACUUACAAAUACAGUCAGGUAAUUUUAAACAUAAAUACAAAUAGUGUAGCAUUGACACUCUUUAAAUAUGUGACUUUGGGAUUCUGCCAAAUCGGAGAAAUAUAAAUCUUUAUGCAGCGUGUCAUAAUCCAAAUAAUUUGACUAAAAUGGGUUAUGUGGUUCACUCCUUCUGCUUCAAUGUUAAGAAAAUUUGAUAUCAAAGACAUAGGAUGAUGCUAUUUGACUUUCUUCCUGGCCAGUUUGUUUACAGCUUUUCACUGCAUCUGUAGCACUACACUUUGAGAUUCCUGUAUGGAACGUCCUUGAAAUUUGUACAGCCAAGCACCUCUGUGUAGCUCAGAGUAGAAAUAAAAGACAGACUUUGUUCAUGCUAAUUUGGAUUUAACAGUCAGCCAGUAAUGCCAAGACAGAGAAAAAUAUUGAAAAUUGAGUUGCAAAAUGAGGUGUACGAUAAUCCUGUAAAAAUAUGCAGAUGUUAAAACUUUCCAUAUUCUGAAUUAAAAACCCUGUUUUCCAUAAAUUCAGUUUUUUGUUGUAUCUUUCAGUCAUAGCAAGGGAAAAUGGAAAGUAAAGCAAAUGAGAAAAUUGAGAAGUAAAGAGAAAUAGAGAUAGAUUGGGCUUUAAAAUAGGAAACUUCCAAUUUUAAAGAAAAGAGGGAAAGAGUAGGAAAUGAGAACACAAUAGUGGUAGCAUUUUCUAGACCAGAUACCAUAACAUUGAUUUUCUGUCUAAAUCAUUUUAAAAAAUGCAUUACUGAUCAUUAAUUGUUUUGUCACAUGAAAGAUAAAAAGUGACAAUAUUAAAAAAACUGCCUGAGCUGUUGAGAAAUUUCAUAUUUUUCAAUAUGGAUUUGUUUUAAAAUUCUUAUAUUUUUUUAAUUCUAGCAGACAUUUAGUGAAUUUAUCAUUGGGCACUAAGUGAUUUCUUAGCCAAAUGUCUGCUGACUAUAAACAAGAUUUAAAGAAAUUGAAAUUUUAUUGUUGUUUUUAUCAGUGCUUGAGACAUUAGAACACCUCUUAAUUUAUCUUUUUUUGUAUAGUGUGAGAGCAUGAAUAAAUAAAAUAGAAUGAAUAUAUAAAAUAAAUAUAUAAAACAGAAGAACAGGUCUUCUGAUGAGGUCUUGUGUAUUUGUAUUAUCUUUUUAUAACUUAGACCUUUAAUUUUUAUCUUUUUUGAUAAAAAAUCUUCUGUAUAAACUGAGAAAUUUAAGGCACUAGGCUUUCCCUUCUGCUUAGGAUAUGGGGUUUUUUUUCAGUCCAGAGCAAUAUAUCUAGAGAGGAGAGAUGAUGAAGAGACAGAUCUGAAAUAAGAAUGUCUGUAGCACAUUAUGUUCAUUGAUUUGUGCCGAUUCCCAGAGUUAUUUAUAGUAAAAUGUGUAAAGUGGCAGCUGGAUGCUUGGUUCAAAAUUUGUAUCACUUUGAGAAAGAUGGUAGAGAAGCAGCUUCACUUCUGGCUGGUAUUUUUAAAAGUCUUUGUUUUGGUUUUGCUGUCUGAUGAUUCAGCAGUGAAUUGAGAGUCAGGUAUUAUUUCACUUACAAUUAAUGAAAAUUGCAUGAAGUAGAACUAACAAAGACUUGAAUUCUUACGGCUCUGCAUUUUGCAUCUAUCUUCAGACUGUCUACUGACAGUCUGAAGAUAGUGUUGGUUCCAUUGGCCAUCUUUUCUAAAAUUCAACAUAAUAAUGUUAUAUAUAUUCUUAAAUAUAUUCAUUUAAAUUAUAAAUAUAUAGAUAUAAUUAUAAAUUACUCCCUUUUCCCAUUAAUUUUUUUCCAAUCAUUUUUAUUUAUAAUUUUUAGCCAUAUUUUAAUUUGCUGUCCAAAAUUACUGUUGUGUUUCUUAAGCAGAGAGAUAUAUCUUCUAUUACUGUAUAUACCUAAUUAAAAACAUAGACAA